AUUGAACGCUGGCGGCAGGCCUAACACAUGCAAGUCGAACGGUAACAGGAAGAAGCUUGCUUCUUUGCUGACGAGUGGCGGACGGGUGAGUAAUGUCUGGGAAACUGCCUGAUGGAGGGGGAUAACUACUGGAAACGGUAGCUAAUACCGCAUAACGUCGCAAGACCAAAGAGGGGGACCUUCGGGCCUCUUGCCAUCGGAUGUGCCCAGAUGGGAUUAGCUAGUAGGUGGGGUAACGGCUCACCUAGGCGACGAUCCCUAGCUGGUCUGAGAGGAUGACCAGCCACACUGGAACUGAGACACGGUCCAGACUCUUACGGGAGGCAGCAGUGGGGAAUAUUGCACAAUGGGCGCAAGCCUGAUGCAGCCAUGCCGCGUGUAUGAAGAAGGCCUUCGGGUUGUAAAGUACUUUCAGCGGGGAGGAAGGGAGUAAAGUUAAUACCUUUGCUCAUUGACGUUACCCGCAGAAGAAGCACCGGCUAACUCCGUG
rnacentral:rRNA from 1 species